GCAUAUCAAUAAGCGGAGGAAAAGAAACCAACAGGGAUUGCCCUAGUAACGGCGAGUGAAGCGGCAACAGCUCAAAUUUGAAAUCUGGCUCCUUUGGGGUCCGAGUUGUAAUUUGCAGAGGGUGCUUUGGCAUCGGCGGCGGUCUAAGUUCCUUGGAACAGGACAUCGCAGAGGGUGAGAAUCCCGUACGUGGGCGCCUGCCUUUGCCGUGUAAAGCCCCUUCGACGAGUCGAGUUGUUUGGGAAUGCAGCUCUAAAUGGGAGGUAAAUUUCUUCUAAAGCUAAAUACCGGCCAGAGACCGAUAGCGCACAAGUAGAGUGAUCGAAAGAUGAAAAGUACUUUGGAAAGAGAGUCAAAUAGCACGUGAAAUUGUUGAAAGGGAAGCGCUUGCAGCCAGACUUGCCCGCAGUUGCUCACCCAGGCUCCGGCCUGGGGCACUCUUCUGCGGGCAGGCCAGCAUCAGUUUGGGCGGUUGGAUAAAGGCCUCUGUCACGUAUCUCCCUUCGGGGUGACCUUAUAGGGGAGGCGCAAUGCAACCAGCCCGGACUGAGGUCCGCGCAUCUGCUAGGAUGCUGGCGUAAUGGCUGUAAGCGGCCCGUCUUGAAACACGGACCAAGGAGUCUAACAUCUAUGCGAGUGUUUGGGUGUCAAGCCCGGGCGCGUAAUGAAAGUGAACGGAGGUGGGAACCCUUUGGGUGCACCAUCGACCGAUCCUGAUGUCUUCGGAUGGAUUUGAGUAAGAGCAUAGCUGUUGGGANCCGAAAGAUGGUGAACUAUGCUUGAAUAGGGUGAAGCCAGAGGAAACUCUGGUGGAGGCUCGCAGCGGUUCUGACGUGCAAAUCGAUCGUCAAAUUUGGGCAUAGGGGCGAAAGACUAAUCGAACCAUCUAGUAGCUGGUUCCUGCCGAA
rnacentral:rRNA from 1 species